AUGAACAAAUUGGGGCACAACGAACUUAAGGAAUGCCUUAAGACUGCCACUGAUUCUCUACAGACAGUGCAGCCUAAUAUCUCCCAGACUUGUACUUCCUAUGGCCCUGCACUUGGGGCCCCACUGCCUGGUAGAAAUGAAGUGGCCUUGCUAACAAGUUUACCUCCAAACUAUGAGAUUUCAGAAGGAAAACCAAGAGCCAUCUCUGCAUAUGUGAGAGCGGGCAAAUGAAAUAUGACAAGGAGAAGAAAGAAGACACACUUGGGCAAUGAUGAUGGGAAGAAGGAAGCACAGGAGAAAAUGUAA